CUGGAGAUUAAGAAACAAGCAUAUUUUCUCUUAUCAUACCAAAUAAAUUGGUGUUA
rnacentral:sRNA from 1 species